ACUGAUGAGGGAGGAGUACUUUCAUUUAGGAAUUGAGGAGAGGGGGAUGAAGGGAUGAGGAUUAGCUGUCACGAUGAAGAAAAGGUGCCUGUUCUGUAAGCGCUCUCUCCCUUUUUCUUCUUCUUCUCCCCUCUCUCUCUCUCUCUCUCUCUCUCUUUCUCUCUCUCUCUCUCUCUCUCUCUCUCUCUCGCUCGCUCGCUGCCGGCUCUCAGGCUCCCCUCCCAUCACCUCCAUGUCCUUGACAAGUCUGCUCACAAAGGGCUGCACUCAUUUCAAACCUUCUGUACACUGACAACCGAAGAAGUCCCAUCCUGGCAGACACGUUCUAAAGGACUGGGCCCGAGGAUGGACUCAGUCAUGGUGAGCCUGUGACUGGAGUGAUAAUGCUCAUGGCCUGGUGGUUCCUGUCUGAUGACAAGAUGCUUCGAGGAAGCCUAAGUUUAUGAGUCUAUGGGGAAUAAUGGAUUCGAUGCCUGUCCACAUCAUAAACACACAGGAAAUAAGAGGUAAUAGCACACUCACAACCCCUUAUGUUUCAUAUUAUAUAUCCAGUGAAUUGAAACAGCAGCACAUAACAACUGAUAAACUGUACAGUUAAAGGACCAGUGACCGAAAUUUAGUGGCAACCUGCACUGCAGUUUCAGAUUGUAACCAGCAGAGCACCCCUCGUCUCACACUCCCCUACAGCACCCACAUGAAAGGCCCAACAUGGCAGACGGUGUCUCCCUCUGUAGAUAAACUCUAAGUUUAGGAAAACACAAUGAAUCUUAUUUUAAGGUGAUUGUGCACUAAUGAAAACACAAUUAUGUGUAUUGUAUUCAACUGCUGUUACUAAAUCGCCCUAAAACCUUCACAUUCGACCUCCAUCGCAAGUAGUGAACACAGUUACUGUAGAAGGUUUGUGUAAAACAAGUGACAUGAAUAUGUUUAGGGUGUUUUUAGGCUCUUUUCAUAC